AGAUCUUUAGCUCAAAUUGGUAGAGCACUUGAGAAAUGAAGAAUGUUGUUCUUUAUCUCAAGAGGAUGGUGGUUCGAAUCCACCAAGAUCUU
rnacentral:tRNA from 1 species